AUUGAACGCUGGCGGCAGGCCUAACACAUGCAAGUCGAGCGGAUGAAGGGAGCUUGCUCCUGGAUUCAGCGGCGGACGGGUGAGUAAUGCCUAGGAAUCUGCCUGGUAGUGGGGGAUAACGUCCGGAAACGGGCGCUAAUACCGCAUACGUCCUGAGGGAGAAAGUGGGGGAUCUUCGGACCUCACGCUAUCAGAUGAGCCUAGGUCGGAUUAGCUAGUUGGUGGGGUAAAGGCCUACCAAGGCGACGAUCCGUAACUGGUCUGAGAGGAUGAUCAGUCACAUGGGGAAUGAGACACGGGAGAGAAGCCUACGGGAGGCAGAAGUAGGGAAUCGGCAGCAAGGGACGAAAGUAUGACGGAGCAAAGGCGCGUGAGUGAAGAAGGUAGUCGGAUCGUAAAACUCUGUUAUUAGAGAAGAAGAAGUGGCAGAGUAACUGUGAGCGCCUGGACGGUAGCUAAUAAGAAAGCCACGGCUAACUACGUG
rnacentral:rRNA from 1 species